GGCUCAGGACGAACGCUGGCGGCGUGCUUAACACAUGCAAGUCGAACGGGAAACCUUUUAUUGAAGCUUCGGCAGAUUUAGCUGGUUUCUAGUGGCGGACGGGUGAGUAACGCGUGGGUAACCUGCCUUAUACAGGGGGAUAACAGUCAGAAAUGACUGCUAAUACCGCAUAAGCGCACAGGACCGCAUGGUCUGGUGUGAAAAACUCCGGUGGUAUAAGAUGGACCCGCGUUGGAUUAGCUUGUUGGUGGGGUAACGGCUCACCAAGGCGACGAUCCAUAGCCGGCCUGAGAGGGUGAACGGCCACAUUGGGACUGAGACACGGCCCAGACUCCUACGGGAGGCA
rnacentral:rRNA from 1 species